rnacentral:lncRNA from 1 species
UUAGACUAGACUUUUGACUUGAGCAUUGGAGGAUCUCUAUCGGAUCAACCUUCGGCAAGGACUUUUCUUGCAAAUCUCGCCCCUGGCGGCAUGGCUCGCCAUCAGCUCCAGCCGCUCGAACGUCAGAUGAAAAUCAGCACCAACAGGUAUGAUAAAAAAAUCAUAAUAUUCAGUAAUAUAUAAAGGCAGGUCAAUUAUGUAUUUACUUGG